rnacentral:rRNA from 1 species
UUUUAACUUCACGAAGGUAUUGAAAUAAGACUUUAAUUGAGUGCUAAGAGAAUGGAUUAAUGAUUAAAUUCUUUAUUUAUAUAAAAAAUAUAAUUUAUAUUAAAAAUAAAAAUUAUUUUUAUAUUAUUAUAAGACAAGAAGACCCUAUGAAUCUUUAUUUUUAAAAAAAAUUUAAUUGGGGCGAUUAAAAAAUAUAAAAAAACUUUAUUUUUAAAGUUUAUUAAAAAUUUAUAAAAAGAUACUCUAGGGAUAACAGCGUUAUUAUUUUGAAGAGUUCCUAUCGAUAAAAUAGUUUGCGACCUCGAUGUUGAAUUAAUGAACCUUAUAUAAGCAAAAAUAUAUAAAGGUUAGAUUGCUCAUCCAUUUUAUUUU